UCUGGCUCAGAUUGAACGCUGGCGGCAGGCCUAACACAUGCAAGUGGAGCGGCAGCGGGAAGAUAGUUUGCUAUCUUUGCCGGCGAGCGGCGGACGGGUGAGUAAUGCCUAGGGAUCUGCCCAGUCGAGGGGGAUAACAGUUGGAAACGACUGCUAAUACCGCACACGCCCUACGGGGGAAAGGAGGGGACCUUCGGGCCUUCCGCGAUUGGAUGAACCUAGGUGGGAUUAGCUAGUUGGUGAGGUAAUGGCUCACCAAGGCGACGAUCCCUAGCUGUUCUGAGAGGAUGAUCAGCCACACUGGGACUGAGACACGGCCCACACUCCUACGGGAGGCAGCAGUGGGGAAUAUUGCACAAUGGGGGAAACCCUGAUGCACCCAUGCCGCGUGUGUGAAGAAGGCCUUCGGGUUGUAAAGCACUUUCAGUAGGGAGGAAAGGUAGCAGCUUAAUACGCUGUUGCUGUGACGUUACCUACAGAAGAAGGACCGGCUAACUCCGUGCCAGCAGCCGCGGUAAUACGGAGGGUCCGAGCGUUAAUCGGAAUUACUGGGCGUAAAGCGUGCGCAGGCGGUUUGUUAAGCGAGAUGUGAAAGCCCCGGGCUCAACCUGGGAAUUGCAUUUCGAACUGGCGAACUAGAGUCUUGUAGAGGGGGGUAGAAUUCCAGGUGUAGCGGUGAAAUGCGUAGAGAUCUGGAGGAAUACCGGUGGCGAAGGCGGCCCCCUGGACAAAGACUGACGCUCAGGCACGAAAGCGUGGGGAGCAAACAGGAUUAGAUACCCUGGUAGUCCACGCCGUAAACGAUGUCUACUCGGAGUUUGGUGUCUUGAACACUGGGCUCUCAAGCUAACGCAUUAAGUAGACCGCCUGGGGAGUACGGCCGCAAGGUUAAAACUCAAAUGAAUUGACGGGGGCCCGCACAAGCGGUGGAGCAUGUGGUUUAAUUCGAUGCAACGCGAAGAACCUUACCUACUCUUGACAUCCACGGAAUUCGCUAGAGAUAGCUUAGUGCCUUCGGGAACCGUGAGACAGGUGCUGCAUGGCU
rnacentral:rRNA from 1 species